rnacentral:lncRNA from 1 species
CUAUUUGGUUUUAUUAGCUAAAUAUGUUAAUCAAUCUUUUUAUUCUUGUUUGUAGAGAUGCAAAAUGUUAUUCUCAACAAGCUUGCAGAAAUAAAAGUUCUUUUAAAAGAAGUUAUAGAAAUUAAGUUUUAGGCUACUGGGGUGAAGUUGCUAGAAUCAGUGGACAAAGUCGUUACACUGGAUAAUAAACUAAAAGAUAAAACCGACUUGAUAGUUUGAAAAAGAUUGGUGGCGGAAAGCCAAGAGAACAUGUUUUUUUGAUCAUGAAAAGGUUACUUUCGAAUCAGUUACAGUCCAAAUUAAAUCGAAAAGGAAAUGGGGAAAAGAUAAACUUAGAAAAUCUAGUAAAUAUAUGGAGUGUUUUACGAGAUAUCAGCGACGUGGAAGAAAAUGUUGACGGCUAUGCAGAAAUAUAGUUUCUUAUGUAUAUUUUUGUGAUAUAAAAAUUAAGUAAUGUUAGUUAAAA